rnacentral:rRNA from 1 species
UACGAAGGGUGCAAACGUUGCUCGGAAUCAUUGGGCGUAAAGCGCACGUAGGCGGCUUCGCAAGUCGGAUGUGAAAUCCCUCGGCUCAACCGAGGACGUGCAUACGAAACUGCGGAGCUUGAGUGCUGAAGAGGAUCGCGGAAUUCCCGGUGUAGAGGUGAAAUUCGUAGAUAUCGGGAGGAACACCAGUGGCGAAGGCGGCUCUCUGGGCCAUAACUGACGCUGAGGAGCGAAAGCAUGGGGAGCGAACAGG